CCCUAGCCCUGAUUGUAGCGUUAUCCUUUUGUGUAGCAAAGCGGAACAAAAGAUAUAGUGGAAAGCAGGAUAAAGC
rnacentral:sRNA from 1 species